GAGAAAUAGAGAGAACCAGAACCGACCUUCGCAGAAUCCCCUCUCUCUCUCUCUCUCUCUCUCUCUCUCGUUUUCUUUGCUUCAUCCCAAAGUAUUCCCAAAUUCGUAUUCAAGUCGGUCUCUUUCCUUCUAGGCCCUUCUUUCUUUUUUUCUCUCUCUCCCUCUCUUUUUUAAUUUAUUUUUUCUUCUCUUUCCUUUAUUCGCCCCCCACCUUUAACGCGUUUUCCGAUUACAAGUAUAUAUAUAUAUAUAUAUAUAUCUCUCAAUAUAAAUAUAUGCACCUUCAACUUAUAAUCAUUCUCUCUUCUUUGUGUUCCUGGGACUCAAAACUACGCAACAAUUUUCUUUAGUUUCUUUUAAUUUUCGUGCGUGUGUGUUUUGCGAUCGAAGAUGAGUGAUCCCAAGUACGCUUACCCCUACCCUGCUCAAGGGUAUUAUCAAGGACCCCCUGUGAUGGCGCCGCCUCAGUACGCAGCUCAACCACCACCACCUAGAAGCUCUGGUUUCCUUGAAGGAUGCCUUGCUGCUCUCUGCUGCUGCUGCCUCAUCGACGAGUGCUGCUGCGAUCCGUCGGUCAUAUUCGUUAGCUGAGCACUUCCUAUAUCUACAGAUUUUCUUUUUUUUCCUCUUUUUUUUUUUUUUUUUUUUUUGGGUCUUGAAGUAUAUGUAGUUCUUCUUUGUGGUUUAUGCUUAUUGAUUAUGGAAACAAUGGAGUUUGAUCUUUGUGUAUUUACUGAAUCAUAACUUUAUCAAAUAAUUAAUUUUUUUUUCCCAA